UUUGUAAUUUUGAUAGACUUUUGUGCUUUCAUUUUCUUAAUGACUUUUACCUCAUUUUUAAAACAAAUCCAUAGUAUGGAAUGAUGGAAUAAAGCAUACGAAGUAGAAGGACUGGAACCUCCAGAAAAAGUACUUUAAGUUACCUACAGGUGAUCCUAGUCAGGCAAAUGAAAACAGUAGCCUAAAGUGUCAGUUUCAACCAGAAAAUAACAGCUCUGAUUUCUCAUGGCUCAUACUCGUCUGAAACGACUCAGGUAGAGGCUGAGGAAGGCCGUGUUGUUUGUCUACCUGGGACUACACCUACUGAAAGAAGUUCUCAAGUUCUGAUUGAGUUCUAAAAUUUUUUGAAGAUUGGAAUUCUUCAUAUGUAAAAAGAGAAGAGAAAGACAUUCUUGAUUUUGGUGACUAGAGUUGUAGAUGCUGGAAGCUUUGCCACUAACAUUGAUGAACCAGAUGCAUGUCACCAGCCCAUCACGGGCACCAUGGGCCCGGCACUGCCACGUUUUCCAAGGAACCUGCCGGAGCUCCUGCGGAAGCUGCUCCUCAGGCGAUGGAGUCCCUUCGCUGGUAGGCCCUUCUUCAGUCACCACAGGAUGCCUGCCAUUCAUGAACAAGAAGGAGAGGACGGGCUUUGAAUAAAAAACAGGAUCCAGGAAAUAUUUGUGAGGCCAUUUGGACUUCAGUGUGAAAUGGUGUUAAAAGAUGAAGUCAUUUAUUCAAGAAGUAAACCUCUGCCACCUGGACUGUGCGCAGACAUUUCAUUGAUUUUGUUUAAUAAACAUUUUCUGGCUUUGGGAGGUGUCUCUCUUGGUAGAACACAGUGUCAAAGAUGGACAAGAUGGACACAUAGUCCAUUAUUUGGUAUUGUUUGUGUAUGGGAGCAGACCACAAAUUAAUGUUUGGAGAACAAUUUUGUCAUAACACACUGUUGAGGCUCAGUUGUACAGAACUGGAAAAGUCUUCAGCUUGGCACAUGUCCUGAUUCAGCCUUUGUUUAACAUAUAUUCCAAUCCGGAUUCUAUCUUCACUGGCUACAAAGACCACCUGAUACGUGCACCACGACACAGGAGCUGCUGGAGAGGGGGUAGUGUUAUCACCUCAAACCCACAGCCAUAUUUUUCAAAAGCCAGCUUAGAGAGAGGUGUACUGAUAGCUGCAUAGAGAACAUGCAGUCCAUCCAUUCUUCCCAGUGAUGUACAUUUCUCAAUCAGUAACCACGUGGUAUACCAGCCUUGAGUGUCACAUCUCCCAACCAUACCAAAUGGAUCACCUAACUGGAGGUGGGGGGGGCCCUCAGAAAUGAGAUUUCGUAUUUACUGUAAAAUUGCCUUAUUUUUUCUUUUGAGGUGGAGUCUCACUCUGUUGCCUGGGCUGGAGUGCAAUGGUGUGAUCACUGCUCACUGCAACCUCCGCCUCCUGGGUUCAAGCAGUUCUCCUGCCUCAGCCUCCCAAGUAGCUGCAAUUACAGGUGCAUGCCACCACUCCCAGCAAAUUUUUAUAUUUUUAGUGGAGACAGGGUUUCACCAUGUUGACCAGGCUGGUCUCAAACUCCUGACCUCAGGUGAUCUGCCCACCUUGGCCUCCCAAAGUUCUGGGAUUAAAGGUACGAGCCACCGCAACUGGCUGAGAAUCUUUUUAUUUGCUGAUUUGUCUCUUGUGUAUUUUCUUUGUUCAGAUGUCUCUUCAGAUCUUUUUCUCACUUUUAAAUUGUUUUUUAAUUGUUAAGAAUUUUCUGUCUAGUUUAGAUAUAAGCCCUUUAUCAGACAUGUGUUUUGCAAAUAUUUUCUCCUAGUCUGUGGCUUGUAUUCUGUCUCUUAACACUCAUUUUAUUUUUACUUUUGGAACUAAAGAAGAAGAAUGGUCAGCUUUCCAUUAUUCUUGUAACAGUAAUGGCAGAACCAAGUCUGCUAAUGCUACACUGAGCAAAGAAAGUCACCUGGUGAAGUCCAACAUUAAUGAAAUGGGGUAGUACAUGCAGGCAGCGUUGGGGGUGGGGAGGGAACAAAUGCUUCUUGAGAGUAAUAUAAUCUGCCAUACCAUCCAGGAACCUACAAUGGCUAUCUAUUACCUUAUUCUCUGGUUUGUUUAAUGUUCGAAUCUUUCCGAAAGAUCCUUCAACCUUUCUGGAAGAAUCUAAUCUGAUAACACCAUCAAAAACACAUUACUUCUUUUGGCAUAAUUUAAAUUGUAAGACAUCAUUCACAUUUAUCAAUGUUACAUAUAUAAGAACUCACCCACCAUAUUCUUCCUUGAGGAAUUACAGCAUGUAAUUCUAUAAUCAUUUUUAUAAUCGUCUAACAAUUUUAUAAUGGAUUGGUUGCUUACUAUCAAUUUUUUAAAAGUCAUGGCUUCUCCAGUCAUUUCUUGCUUAUCGAAAUUAUUUCAUGAGAUGGGUCUCUCCUUGUAUAUUUGAAAAUGAGGUUUGCUUCCUUCUACUUAAAAAACAACUUGAACAUACCUGUUUGGAUCACAUGGUCUUGUCCUGAUAACUUGGAAGAGGUUGCUUCAGCAUUGUUCUUAUUGUUGUGGUGGUUAUUAUUAAUAUUGUUUCAUAUUCUGUUUAAAAAAUUAAAAUUUUACACAAGACCAAUGUCUUCUUUUCAAUUCCAGUACAUUUUUCAGAAGUAACUAAUGCUAUUGGCUUUGUGCAUUGUAAUUUCAGACCAUUUUAUAUGUCUUUAGUUAUAUGUACAGUAUACACACAUAUGUGUCAUAUUAUUCCAUUUUUUCUAGCAUUAAACAUUGCUAUGGAAAACUCUCGGAAAAAUAUUUAUUUGAACAGAACUUUUUCUUUUCUCAGAUGUACCCUCCUUAGGAAUCUUUCUUUGAUCCUUGAAGUUUGGUAACAACUUUAAAUAUGUGUAUCCCAGCUGGGAGCAGCGGCUCACACCUGUAAUUUCAGCACUUUGGGAGGCCGAGGAGGGUGGAUCACCUGAGGUCAGGAGUUUGCCUGGCCAACAUGGUGAAACCCCGUCUUUACUGAAAAUACAAAAAGUUAGCCAGGUGUGGUGGCUGGCACCUGUAAUCCCAGCUACAUGGGAGGCUGAGGCAGGAGAAUCGCUUGAACCUAUAGAGACAAGGUUUCACCAUGUUGACCAGGCUGGUCUCGAACUCCUGACCUCAGGUGAUCCACCCACCUCAGCCUCCCAAAAUGCUGGGAUUACAGGCAUGAGCCAUUGCACCCAGCCAUACAGGAGCAAGUUUAAAAAUUAAAUAUUUAUUUGAAUAACAAGCUUACAUUGGAGCUGCAAUGUUGGCAAUCCAGAUUUUGAACACGGAUCACAAAAAGCAUGCAUAAAAUCCUACUGGCCCAGAGAACAAAACACUGCUCAGAAUUAAGCGAAAUAGCUGCUACUGUUAAGAAAACAGGCCUGAAAUCAAUAUACAAGAUUUUAAAAAAUGUAUUGGCCGGAUGCAGUGGCUCAUUCCUGUAAUUCCAGAACUUUGGGAGGCCAAGACAGGAGAAUCACCUGAGGUCAGGAGUUCAAGACCAGCCUGGCCAACAUGGUGAAACUCCAUCUCUACUAAAAAUAAAAAAUUAGCUGGGUGUGGUGACACAUGCCUGUAGUCCCAGCUACCUGGGAGGCUGAGGCAGAAUAAUUUCUCGAACCCAGGAGGAGGAGGUUUGCAAUGGCAUGAUCUCUGCUCACCGCAACCUCCGCCUCCCGGGUUCAAGCAAUUCUCCUACUUCAGCCUCCCGAGUAGCUGGGAUUACAGGCAUGUGCCACCAUGCCUGGCUACUUUUCUGUAUUUUUAGUAGAGACAGAGUUUCUCCAUGUUGGUCAGGCUGGUCUUGAACUCACAACCUCCGGUGAUCUGCCUGCCUCGGCCUCCCAUAGUGCUGGGAUUACAGGCAUGAGCCACCAUGCCUGCCCAUGAAAGCACUUUUAAAAAGAGAGCACCUCUGCUGCCUGGUCAUAUUCUGUACCUGUUCCCAAACCCUGAAACCAGUGAUGUCAAUGGCUGCGUGGGCAUUGAACGUGUACAUGAUUCCUGCAGCUUUCCUGUUGACCUGGACCAUGUUCAUCAAUGCUUUUUGGUACAUUAAUUCUACAUCUUCUUCGGUGACCACAGUUUAUGUUUAUUUCAUUUUUCAGGAAUAUCCAGCCACUGGUGCACAGCCAUUGCCACUUGUGCCCCCAGGGGAUCUUGUCAACUCCAGUAUGUCCCCCCAGCACUGUGUUAUCUGGCAUAAUAAAUGUAGUUGGGCUGUAGUUGUAGUGACUCCUCCCAAAACAACCCAGGAGUUUAAUACUGUUUGGCCACCGGUUACAGACAUUGCUGCCCCUUCCGCUGCGGCUUUAAAAGCCUAUCUAAUCGGCUGGGUGUGAUGGUGGCUCAGACCUAUAAUCCCAGCACUUUGGGAGUCCAAGGUGGGUGGAUCACCUGAGGUCAGGAGUUUGAGACCGGCCUGGCCAACAUGGUGAAACCCCAUCUCUACUAAAAAUACAGCAAAUUAGCUGGGCGUGGUGGCGCAUGACUGUAAUCCCAGCUACUCGGGAGGCUGAGGUAGGAGAAUUGCUUGGGUGGCAGAGUAAGACUCCGUCCCAAAAAAAAAAGUUAUCUAAUCAGGGACGUCACCUUUCCCUGCCAGUCAUUUUGUUACCAAUGAAAGAAAACAUAUUCAAAUCAAUUUUUAGUUCAGAAAAUGUUUCUUUCAUUGUAUCUUUGAAUUUUAUUGUUCUGCAUUUUUUACUUCAAAAACACCUACUAUAUGCAUUUUUUCUCUCGUUUCCUUUUUUUUCCAAGAAAUGUUUUUGUCCUUUUGAUUUUUUCACUGACCAUUACCAUUAUUUAUAUACCAUGUACCUGGAGAGUUUCCAAUGUUUCUCUUUGGUCUGAGAUACUUGCUAUGAUUUUCACUUUUUAAAUGCUCUUUUGAGAUUUGUUUUGUGGCCUAAAAUGUGGUCUAUCCUGGAGAAUGUUCUGUGAGCUGAUGAGAAGAAUGCACGUUCUGCAGUUGGUGGGUGAAAUGUUCUGUAAUUACCUGUGAGGUCCCUUUGACUUCUCUUGGAGUCAGUCUGGUCUGUUACUUUUCUGCCUAGAGGGUGUGUCUGUUGCUGAAAGUGGGUGUUGGAGUCCCCAGCUAUUAUUGUCUGUCUCUGUCUGUUGCUCGAAUAACUCUUACUUUAAUAACUGGGGCUCCUGUGUCAGGUGUGUUUACAUUGACAACUGUCCUACCUUCUUGCUGAAUUGAUCUCUUUAUCGUUUUAUAAUGACCUUUAUUUUCUAUUUUUGUGCUUUUUUGACUUAAAGCCUACUUUGUGUGACAAGCAUAGCUAUACAUACUCACUUUUGGUAACACUUUUCAUUUCUUAUCAUCUUCAUUGAAUCUCACUUCUUCACAUUUACCAAAAUGUCUACUUUUGAGCUGUGGCACCUCUUUGAAUCUUCAGAUCCACCACAUGCUGAUCAAGCCUUCCUUUUUGUCUGUACUCUGAGGAAUCCCAAACAGGCAUUUUUGCAAGAAAGUCUAGGAGGGAAACAUAAAUCUAUGUGUCAAAAAAAUGAACAUAGAAAAUAAUGUGUCCUGGUUAACAAAAGUUCUCAUUGUAAAGUGUUAGGCACAAGACUAUGGAAUUUCAUGUGCCAUAAAUAAAAUUGUCUUGAUUUGUCUAAAACUACAUUUUGUCUAAAACUACUUUUAAAAAUUACAUGUUACUCUAAUA
rnacentral:lncRNA from 1 species